rnacentral:rRNA from 1 species
UGAAUACGAGAUGCUACGGCGUCGAAGCAGUGUAUGUCAGACUUCCAAGAAAAGCUCGCAAUGUCAUAAAUAAAGAAUGCCUGUACCAUAACCGACACAGGUGGGUAGGUAGAGUAUACUAAGGGGCGCGAGAUAACUCUCUCUAAGGAACUCGGCAAAAUAACUCCGUAACUUCGGGAGAAGGAGUGCCUUCUUUAAGAAGGUUGCAAUAACAAGAUCCAAGCAACUGUCUAUCAAAAACACAGGUCUCCGCUAAGUCGUAAGACGAUGUAUGGGGGCUGACGCCUGCCCAGUGCCAGAAGGUUAAAGAAGUUGGUUAGCUUUUGCGAAGCUGAUGACUGAAGCCCUGGUGAACGGCGGCCGUAACAAUAACGGUCCUAAGGUAGCGAAAUUCCUUGUCGGGUAAGUUCCGACCCGCACGAAAGGCGUAAUGAUUUGGAUACUGUCUCGGAGAGGGACUCGGUGAAAUAGACUUGUCUGUGAAGAUGCGGACUACCUGCACCAGGACAGAAAGACCCUAUGAAGCUUUACUGUAACUUGAAAUUGAAAUUGGACUUUAUUUGCGCAGUAUAGGUGGAAGGCGUUGAAAGUAAUCUUGCGGGAUUAGUGGAGCCAUCAGUGAGAUACCACUCCUAUAAUGUUAGAUUUCUAACUUUGGAUCAUGAUCUGGUCAAAGAACAGUUUCAGGCGGGCAGUUUGGCUGGGGCGGUCGCCUCCCAAAUGGUAACGGAGGCGUACAAAGGUUUCCUCUGAACGGGUAGAAAUCGUAUCUAGAGUGUAAAGGCAUAAGGAAGCUUGACUGUGAGACCUACAAGUCGAGCAGGGACGAAAGUCGGUCUUAGUGAUCUGACGGUGCUGAGUGGAAAGGCCGUCACUCAACGGAUAAAAGUUACUCUAAGGAUAACAGGCUGAUCUCCCCCAAGAGUUCACAUCGACGGGGAGGUUUGGCACCUCGAUGUCGGCUCAUCGCAUCCUGGGGCGGUAGUACGUCCCAGGGGUUGGGCUGUUCGCCCAUGAAAGCGGUACGCGAGCUGGGUUCAGAACGUCGUGAGACAGUUCGGUCCAUAUCCGGUGUAGGCGUUAGAAUAUUGAGAGGAGCCUUCUUUAGUACGAGAGGACCGAGAAGGACAUACCUCUGGUGUACCAGUUAUCGUGCCAACGGUAAACGCUGGGUAGCUAUGUAUGGAGAGGAUAACCGCUGAAAGCAUCUAAGUGGGAAGCCCACCUCAAGAUGAG